UGUCAAGGGAUGGGAAUCGAAUCCACGACCUUCCGCUUACCGGGCAGAUGCCAUGACCACUAGGCUACCCUGGAC
rnacentral:tRNA from 1 species